CCUGUGGGAAUAGAGCAAUUGGAGGCGGAAAAGACCCACACUAUUCUGUCCCCUUCUCUCUGAGGGGAUUUCAGAAUUCUGCGGUGAGGCAGCGGCCCAAAUGUGAUCCGGCCCGAGCGCCUCUCCGUCCUGGGAGCAGAGCGGAGGCAGAGACUCCGUAAUCCACUCCGCUCGCCUCCUCCGCCCAGAUGAACUCUGACAGCUGGGCCAUUUACAACUGCAGGCCUUCCUGCACUCCUAGUGCGCUUCCAGAUUUUUUUUUGUGUGCAGGAGGGACGGGAGGAAGGCUCAAGGGUAUCUGUGAUCUAAUCAUUACACCAUCUCCUCACCCCGGCGACCCCACUGCAUCCAUCUCUCUGUCGACUCCUCUCCCUCGCUCUCUCUCACCUUGUCACUUCCCUUCUCUCUCCCUCUCUUUACUGCUCUCUUCCCCCAUCUAUCUUUCAUCCAAUCUCUGUCUUUCUCUCUGUAUUCUGGCCCUCACCCCGAUGCUCUGUAGGCUGUAACUGCUGUAUUGGCGGGAGGAAAAUAGAAGAGGCAAUUCUCUAUAAACUAAAUGAGGACUGCUUUUAAAUUUGACCGCAAAUUCAUAGAG